rnacentral:rRNA from 1 species
UCCUACGGGAGGCAGCAGUAGGGAAUCUUCCACAAUGGGCGCAAGCCUGAUGGAGCAACACCGCGUGAGUGAAGAAGUAUUUCGGUAUGUAAAGCUCUAUCAGCAGGGAAGAAAAUGACGGUACCUGACUAAGAAGCCCCGGCUAACUACGUGCCAGCAGCCGCGGUAAUACGUAGGGGGCAAGCGUUAUCCGGAUUUACUGGGUGUAAAGGGAGCGUAGACGGCGCGGCAAGUCUGAAGUGAAAGGCAGGGGCUUAACCCCUGAACUGCUUUGGAAACUGCCAUGCUAGAGUGCUGGAGAGGUA